rnacentral:rRNA from 1 species
GACGAACGCUGGCGGCGUGCCUAAUACAUGCAAGUAGAACGCAGUUGCGAACGGGUGAGUAACGCGUAGGUAACUGCCUCAUAGCGGGGGGUAACAAUUGGAAACGAUAGCUAAUACCGCAUACUGUGAGAUGGACCUGCGUUGUAUUAGGUAGUUGGUGGGGUAAAGGCCCACGAAGGCGACGAUACAUAGCCGAUCUGAGAGGGUGAUCGGCCACAUUGGGACUGAGACACGGCCCAGACUCCUACGGGAGGCAGCAGUAGGGAAUCUUCGGCAAUGGACGGAAGUCUGACCGAGCAACGCCGCGUGAGUGAGGACGGUUUUCGGAUCGUAAAGCUCUGUUGUUCGGGACGCGGUACCUAACUAGAAAGGGACGGCUAACUACGUGCCAGCAGCCGCGGUAAUUC